UACGUAGGGGGCAAGCGUUGUCCGGAUUUAUUGGGCGUAAAGAGCGUGUAGGCGGCUGGGUAGGUCCGUUGUGAAAACUCGAGGCUCAACCUCGAGACGCCGAUGGAAACCCCCCAGCUAGAGUCCGGAAGGGGAGAGUGGAAUUCCUGGUGUAGCGGUGAAAUGCGCAGAUAUCAGGAAGAACACCCGUGGCUAAGGCGGCUCUCUAGUACGGUACUGACGCUGAGACGCGAAAGCGUGGGGAGCAAACAGG
rnacentral:rRNA from 1 species